UACGUAGGUGGCGAGCGUUGUCCGGAAUUACUGGGUGUAAAGGGCGUGUAGGCGGGACAUUAAGUCAGAUGUGAAAUUCCAGGGCUCAACCCUGGCGCUGCAUCUGAAACUAAUGUUCUUGAGUGCUGGAGAGGAAAGCGGAAUUCCUAGUGUAGCGGUGAAAUGCGUAGAUAUUAGGAGGAACACCAGUGGCGAAGGCGGCUUUCUGGACAGUAACUGACGCUGAGGCGCGAAAGCGUGGGGAGCAAACAGG
rnacentral:rRNA from 1 species